CAGCCCCCCGGGGACCCAAGCUGCUGAGGACCCUGGGGAUGCUGACUAGUGCUUUGGAGUUGUUCAGGUAAAAGAUCAAUAUGGAGGUGGAUAUACUCUACUCUGAGUCCUUGGAAGAGUGGCUGGAGCCUUGGAGAGGAACUGGAGUGAGGCCAUGUUUUCAUCCACAGGGAGGUCAGCCUCGACUCACUGCUAAAAGCCUGUUGGGAUGGAGGUGGCUGAUCUCACCUGCUGCUGGGCAGGGCAGGGCAAGAACCAGGUCUUGUGAUGUGUGGAUGCAGGGCUUUGGGAAGGAUUCCCACCUUCUUGACCUCAAGGACUGGUGCAUGCAGCUGGAAUUUUGCUGAGCCCACUGCCAGAGAGCCCAGAAGAGGGCAGCAAUACUGUGCAGGAAGCUGGCACUUUUAAGAGAAACUGAGUCUUUUUA
rnacentral:lncRNA from 12 species